UACGUGGGUGGCAAGCGUUGUCCGGAUUUACUGGGCGUAAAGGGAGCGUAGGCGGAUAUUUAAGUGGGAUGUGAAAUCCCCGGGCUCAACCCGGGAGCUGCAUUCCAAACUGGAUAUCUAGAGUGCAGGAGAGGAGAGUGGAAUUCCUAGUGUAGCGGUGAAAUGCGUAGAGAUUAGGAAGAACACCAGUGGCGAAGGCGACUCUCUGGACUGUAACUGACGCUGAGGCUCGAAAGCGUGGGGAGCAAACAGG
rnacentral:rRNA from 1 species